rnacentral:misc_RNA from 1 species
UAAGCUGGAGAGAGGGUGAGAGAG